UGGGGAAUUUUCCGCAAUGGGGGGAACCCUGACGGAGCAACGCCGCGUGCGGGAGGACGGCCUGUGGGUUGUAAACCGCUUUUCUCUGGGAAGAAGAUCUGACGGUACUUAAGGAAUCAGCAUCGGCUAACUCCGUGCCAGCAGCCGCGGUAAUACGGAGGAUGCAAGCGUUAUCCGGAAUUAUUGGGCGUAAAGCGUCCGCAGGUGGCUCUUCAAGUCUGCUGUCAAAGACAGAAGCUCAACUUCUGGCCGGCGGUGGAAACUGGGGGGCUAGAGUACGGUAGGGGUAGAGGGAAUUUCCAGUGUAGCGGUGAAAUGCGUAGAGAUUGGAAAGAACACCAGUGGCGAAGGCGCUCUACUGGACCGAAACUGACACUCAGGGACGAAAGCUAGGGGAGCGAAAGGGAUUAGAUACCCCCGUAGUCC
rnacentral:rRNA from 1 species